rnacentral:tRNA from 1 species
UGAGGCGUGUAGUCUUCUUCUUGA